GCAUAUCAAUAAGCGGAGGAAAAGAAACCAACAGGGAUUGCCUUAGUAACGGCGAAGUGAAGCGGCAACAGCUCAAAUUUGAAAGCUCGGCCCUUUCAGGGUCCGCGUUGUAAUUUGUAGAGGAUGAUUCGGCGAGGGCUCCCGCCUAAGUCCCCUGGAACGGGGCGUCAUAGAGGGUGAGAAUCCCGUAUGCGGUGGGCUGCCUUAGCCGUGUGAAUCUCCUUCGACGAGUCGAGUUGUUUGGGAAUGCAGCUCUAAAUGGGAGGUAAAUUUCUUCUAAAGCUAAAUACCGGCCAGAGACCGAUAGCGCACAAGUAGAGUGAUCGAAAGAUGAAAAGCACUUUGGAAAGAGAGUUAAAAAGUACGUGAAAUUGUUGAAAGGGAAGCGCUUGCAACCAGACUUGUCCGCAGUUGCUCAGCCGGUCUCCUGACCGGCGUACUCUUCUGCGGCCAGGCCAGCAUCAGUUCGGGCGGUCGGAUAAAGACCUCGGGAAUGUAGCUCCUCUCGGGGAGUGUUAUAGCCCGGGGUGGAAUGCGGCCAGCCUGGACUGAGGAUCUCGCUUCGGCAAGGAUGCUGGCGUAAUGGUUGUAAGCGGCCCGUCUUGAAACACGGACCAAGGAGUCUAACAUCUAUGCGAGUGUUUGGGUGUCAAACCCAUACGCGUAAUGAAAGUGAACGGAGGUGGGAACCCGCAAGGGCGCACCAUCGGCCGAUCCUGAUGUCUUCGGAUGGAUUUGAGCAAGAGCAUAGCUGUUGGGACCCGAAAGAUGGUGAACUAUGCCUGAAUAGGGUGAAGCCAGAGGAAACUCUGGUGGAGGCUCGCAGCGGUUCUGACGUGCAAAUCGAUCGUCAAAUUUGGGUAUAGGGGGCGAAAGACUAAUCGAACCAUCUAGUAGCUGGUUCUGC
rnacentral:rRNA from 1 species